CAACAAGCCGAGGCUCACUUCCCCCUGCAGAUGAUCCAAUAUUCAUAUGCAACUCGAAACACAUGAAUUGCGAUUGAAUAAGAUUUUCACUGCAUACAGACUACGGUAUAUCCCAAAUCUCGCAAACGACUUCUGCAAUGCAGCAAGAGCACAGAGUCUCGAGAAAGAAGAUAGAAAACCAGAGGAAGAACAUACCACCGCCACAACGGGAGUGAAGGACCAUCUCCGACUCGUUACAGCAGAGAUGUUCUUCACCGGCUCAAGAAACUACCGGUUUGUCCAAUGAGCACGGUGAUCGGCAGAAA